CAUGGACUUUCCUUUUCAGAAAAGGAACUUCAGGCCCUACUGAACUGGCAACCCCAACGUUGAGGGAGAGUCCCGCCCUUAGAUUGCCCAAUGCGCUGGGUUGUGGUAAGACCAAGGCUUGUCCAAUUCCUGUCAACUCCAAGACGUGGAAGAAAUUCCUUGUGAGACAAGAAAGUCUGCGGAGAAGAGCUUUAAAAUCCACAGCCCUGGUGCCUUCAUUUAGAUGAAUCCAAGUUCUCACUCUACCUCGCACUCCACAUGUAGCAACAGAGAGACACAUGCAGGUGAGGGCGCACACACUCAGCGUUCACACACACUCUGCGUGGAGGGCUUCCUCGUCCUCUCCUGCCCCCAACCCUGGAGUCCAGGAUUUCCCAGAGGAACAAAACAGGACCAGUCUGAGUGCGAACGGCGAGAGACUUUUCUUCACUUUGAGAGAACCUAAACACCUAUCUUUCCCAAGGCAACCUGCAUCGCCUGGACAUUUCUUUGCCGGGGUCAUCACUUCCCAUCCAGGCAGGAGUCUGGUGCAUCCGCGUCUCUGCAGGCAGAAGCAGAAUCCCAUGGUAGCCAGGUGGGUGAAGGGGAGCGAGGACGUCCCAUCUGCCUUGAAGAAGACGCCUUCUGACCUGCUGAGGGAGUGACCAGAGGGAAGCAUUCCCGGGGACUCAGCUUGGAAACCUGGUCCUUUUCCAGGUGGGUCUCUUCUGCCACAAUGUCAGAUGCCUGUACUUGCCUACUUGUUCUAUAGCUUUUUACAAGAGAUUCCUAUGUUGGUUCUGGUUGUUUCUAAAGGAAUAAGGCAAAAAUUUUGUGCCAUACCUAAAUGUCAUACCUAAUAUGACAUUUUGAUAAUUAGCAUAUUAACCAAGCUAUUAAUGAAGCAUAAUUAUUCACUAUGUGUUUGUUGUUGGUUGGUUGAUGACUUAGUCCUUUCCAAUAUAAUCAUGAACCAGGAGAGGUCAUCAAUUCUAAAGUAUUCAUUGGAUUGGGGGGGAUGCAUUUCUGUUGCAGAGAAUGCCACACAAAAGGGUAAGUUUUUUAAAAAUUGUAUUUAUAUUACCAGUUUUAAAAAUAUGUAUUAAUAUUCUCUAUUGCUAUAUUAAAACUAUCAUAUAGAUGGUGCAUUUUAGUUGUAUGAGUGCUGACCCAAUGCUCAGUCAACUUAUUUUUAAACUUUCUAGAAUUGGAAAUUUGUGCUAACUAUACAUAAAUAUUCAUAAUACUCAGUGGGGUAGAUGCAUGUGAGUGUGAUUUUAUAAUGAGAAAAACUGGCAUCAUUUUUGAGUGUAAGGCUUUGUUUUGGCACUUUCUAGGCAUUAUUUCAUUUAACCAUCACAAAAACCUGAGGAGUAGGUUAUAUUCCCAUUUUACAGAUCAAGGAGCUGAGAUCCAGAGAACUUAAAUAGCUCUGGGCACUGUGCCAGAUUAUCAGAGAUUGGAAGUGUGAAGGAUAUGCAAGGUCACACAGCAAAUAAAUUGGACAGUUGGCAUUUAGCCCAGGUUUGCUGAUCUCCAGAGUUCAUGCUCCUCACUCCACCCUACUGUCUUCCUUAAGUACUGGUAGACUAGUCUUGCCUGCCAAAUUCACCUUUCUUAUAUAGAUCUAUAUACAUUCCUACAUACUUCAUUUGAUUAUCCUAUUUCUGUUUUCUGGUUGUUCUACUACAUGUGACAGUACCAGAACAUCUUUCUUUGUCAUUUCCU
rnacentral:lncRNA from 1 species